GGGCCGGUAGCUCAAUUGGCAGAGCAAAUCCCUCUUAAGGAUUUGGUUCUGGGUUCAAGUCCCAGCCGGCUCACCA
rnacentral:tRNA from 5 species